GAUUAGAAAAGUUUGUUAAUAAAAUAUCUAGAACUAUGUCAAUAUAAGAAAAAUAAUUUUUAUUAAGUAUGAAUUUAGUAAUGUGUAAUAAAAAGUAAAGAAAGUAACUAUAGAGUAGAAGUACUGUAAAGGAAAAGUUUAGAUAAUAAGAAAGUAAAAGUAAAAGUUUGUACCUUGUGUAUCAGGGAAGAUCAAUAUAAGCUAAAAUUAUAGGUAUCCCGAAAUAAAAAUAGCUAAUUUUAUAGAAAAGUUAUUGUAGAAAUAAUAUUUAAAAUAUAAAAUUAAGGGCGAAAUACUAAAGGAGUUUUAUUAUAUCUGGUUUUCUAAAAAUUAAGUUUAAUUUAGCUUUUAUACUAAAAUAGUGUGUAAAGGUAAAUUGUAGGAGGGACAAGCUUCUUACAAAAGAGUAAUAAAGAGCUGGCUUAUAAAUAUAGUAUAAAACUAGGCUUAAAAAGUAGCCACGUUAGUAAAGUGUUUCAACUGAAUAAAAAUGGUUAAAAAUAGUUUAUAAGAGCUUUGGGGAAUAUUAGAAAUUUUAUAUUAACUUAAAAUAAUAAAGGUAUAAUGGUUUUAUUAGUAAAAAGUAGUGUUUAGUUGUGUGAGGAAUAUUUAAAGUGUGAGUUAUACAUAAGUUUAAAGUAUUAUAAAGGAACUCGGCAAGUUUUUUUCUUUGCCUGUUUAUCAAAAACAUGUCUAUUUGGAGAUAUAAAUAGUCUAGUCUGCCCACUGAUAGUUAAUUUAAAGGGCCGCGGUAUAUUGACCGUGCAAAGGUAGCAUAAUCAUUAGUUUUUUAAUUGAAAUCUCGUAUGAACGGCUGGACAAAAGAAAGUCUGUCUCUAUAGUGGUUAUUGAAUUUAACUUUUGAGUGAAAAGGCUUAAAUAAAUUAAAAAGACGAUAAGACCCUAUAAAGCUUGACAUUAAUUGGAUAUUACACCGGAUUAUUUGGUUAUAAAGGUGUGUAAUGCAAUUUUUGUUUUAUUGGGGCGAUAGAGGUAAAAUUGUUGGUAACUGCUUAAAUUUUAUGACAGGAUAAGUGAAUAAUUAUUAUAAGAGAUCCCAAGAUAUGGAUUACAAGGUUAAGUUACUUUAGGGAUAACAGCGUAAUUUUUUUUAAGAGUUCUUAUCGAAAAAAAAGUUUGCGACCUCGAUGUUGAAUUAAAAUUUCUU
rnacentral:rRNA from 1 species